rnacentral:rRNA from 1 species
GACGAACGCUGGCGGCGUGCUUAACACAUGCAAGUCGAACGGAAAGGCCCUGCUUUUGUGGGGUGCUCGAGUGGCGAACGGGUGAGUAACACGUGAGUAACCUGCCCUUGACUCUGGGAUAACUUCAGGAAACUGGGGCUAAUACCGGAUAGGAGCUCCUGCUGCAUGGUGGGGGUUGGAAAGUUUCGGCGGUUGGGGAUGGACUCGCGGCUUAUCAGCUUGUUGGUGGGGUAGUGGCUUACCAAGGCUUUGACGGGUAGCCGGCCUGAGAGGGUGACCGGCCACAUUGGGACUGAGAUACGGCCCAGACUCCUACGGGAGGCAGCAGUGGGGAAUAUUGCACAAUGGGCGGAAGCCUGAUGCAGCAACGCCGCGUGCGGGAUGACGGCCUUCGGGUUGUAAACCGCUUUCGCCUGUGACGAAGCGUGAGUGACGGUAAUGGGUAAAGAAGCACCGGCUAACUACGUGCCAGCAGCCGCGGUGAUACGUAGGGUGCGAGCGUUGUCCGGAUUUAUUGGGCGUAAAGGGCUCGUAGGUGGUUGAUCGCGUCGGAAGUGUAAUCUUGGGGCUUAACCCUGAGCGUGCUUUCGAUACGGGUUGACUUGAGGAAGGUAGGGGAGAAUGGAAUUCCUGGUGGAGCGGUGGAAUGCGCAGAUAUCAGGAGGAACACCAGUGGCGAAGGCGGUUCUCUGGGCCUUUCCUGACGCUGAGGAGCGAAAGCGUGGGGAGCGAACAGGCUUAGAUACCCUGGUAGUCCACGCUGUAAACGGUGGGUACUAGGUGUGGGGUCCAUUCCACGGGUUCCGUGCCGUAGCUAACGCUUUAAGUACCCCGCCUGGGGAGUACGGCCGCAGGGCUAAAACUCAAAGGAAUUGACGGGGCCCCGCACAAGCGGCGGAGCAUGCGGAUUAAUUCGAUGCAACGCGUAGAACCUUACCUGGGUUUGACAUGGAUCGGGAGUGCUCAGAGAUGGGUGUGCCUCUUUUGGGGUCGGUUCACAGGUGGUGCAUGCCUGUCGUCAGCUCGUGUCGUGAGAUGUUGGGUUAAGUCCCGCAACGAGCGCAACCCUUGUUCACUGUUGCCAGCACGUUAUGGUGGGGACUCAGUGGAGACCGCCGGGGUCAACUCGGAGGAAGGUGGGGAUGACGUCAAGUCAUCAUGCCCCUUAUGUCCAGGGCUUCACGCAUGCUACAAUGGCUGGUACAGAGAGUGGCGAGCCUGUGAGGGUGAGCGAAUCUCGGAAAGCCGGUCUCAGUUCGGAUUGGGGUCUGCAACUCGACCUCAUGAAGUCGGAGUCGCUAGUAAUCGCAGAUCAGCAACGCUGCGGUGAAUACGUUCCCGGGGCU